rnacentral:lncRNA from 1 species
CUGAAUUAUCUUUUAUAAGUGUAUUCUUUAUUUUCAAGUGGACACCAUGAUAAAGUAUUUACAAUUCUCAUUGAGUUCUCAAAAAUUUCAAAAUGAAAUGCUAGCAAUUACUAUGCCUGGUUUCUCAUUGUCGAGUGUCAAGGUUUACACGUAAAAUGUAAUUCUUUCAACGUUAUAUGUCAAGGUAGGCACUCACGACGCUUGUUG